AGUGAACGCUGGCGGUAGGCCUAACACAUGCAAGUCGAACGGCAGCACAGUAAGAGCUUGCUCUUACGGGUGGCGAGUGGCGGACGGGUGAGGAAUACAUCGGAAUCUACUUUUUCGUGGGGGAUAACGUAGGGAAACUUACGCUAAUACCGCAUACGACCUACGGGUGAAAGCAGGGGAUCUUCGGACCUUGCGCGAUUGAAUGAGCCGAUGUCGGAUUAGCUAGUUGGCGGGGUAAAGGCCCACCAAGGCGACGAUCCGUAGCUGGUCUGAGAGGAUGACCGCCACCACUGGAACUGAGACCCGGUCCAGACUCCUGCGGGCGGCGGCAGUGGGGAAUAUUGGACAGUGGGCGCACGCUUUACCCAGCCAUCCCGGGGGGGUGAAGAGGCCCUUCGGGUUGUAAACCCUUUUUGUGGGAAAAAAAAAGCAGCAGUUUAAUCCCCCGCUUUUCUGACGGUCCCAAAAAAAUAAGCCCCGGCUAACUUCGUC
rnacentral:rRNA from 1 species